rnacentral:rRNA from 1 species
ACGCUAGCUACAGGCUUAACACAUGCAAGUCGAGGGGCAGCAUUUCAGUUUGCUUGCAAACUGGAGAUGGCGACCGGCGCACGGGUGAGUAACACGUAUCCAACCUGCCGAUAACUCGGGGAUAGCCUUUCGAAAGAAAGAUUAAUACCCGAUGGUAUAAUCAGACCGCAUGGUCUUGUUAUUAAAGAAUUUCGGUUAUCGAUGGGGAUGCGUUCCAUUAGGCAGUUGGUGAGGUAACGGCUCACCAAACCUUCGAUGGAUAGGGGUUCUGAGAGGAAGGUCCCCCACAUUGGAACUGAGACACGGUCCAAACUCCUACGGGAGGCAGCAGUGAGGAAUAUUGGUCAAUGGGCGCAGGCCUGAACCAGCCAAGUAGCGUGAAGGAUGACUGCCCUAUGGGUUGUAAACUUCUUUUAUAUGGGAAUAAAGUUUUCCACGUGUGGAAUUUUGUAUGUACCAUAUGAAUAAGGAUCGGCUAACUCCGUGCCAGCAGCCGCGGUAAUACGGAGGAUCCGAGCGUUAUCCGGAUUUAUUGGGUUUAAAGGGAGCGUAGGUGGACAGUUAAGUCAGUUGUGAAAGUUUGCGGCUCAACCGUAAAAUUGCAGUUGAUACUGGCUGUCUUGAGUACAGUAGAGGUGGGCGGAAUUCGUGGUGUAGCGGUGAAAUGCUUAGAUAUCACGAAGAACUCCGAUUGCGAAGGCAGCUCACUGGACUGCAACUGACACUGAUGCUCGAAAGUGUGGGUAUCAAACAGGAUUAGAUACCCUGGUAGUCCACACAGUAAACGAUGAAUACUCGCUGUUUGCGAUAUACAGUAAGCGGCCAAGCGAAAGCAUUAAGUAUUCCACCUGGGGAGUACGCCGGCAACGGUGAAACUCAAAGGAAUUGACGGGGGCCCGCACAAGCGGAGGAACAUGUGGUUUAAUUCGAUGAUACGCGAGGAACCUUACCCGGGCUUAAAUUGCAUUUGAAUAUAUUGGAAACAGUAUAGCCGUAAGGCAAAUGUGAAGGUGCUGCAUGGUUGUCGUCAGCUCGUGCCGUGAGGUGUCGGCUUAAGUGCCAUAACGAGCGCAACCCUUAUCUUUAGUUUCUAACAGGUCAUGCUGAGGACUCUAGAGAGACUGCCGUCGUAAGAUGUGAGGAAGGUGGGGAUGACGUCAAAUCAGCACGGCCCUUACGUCCGGGGCUACACACGUGUUACAAUGGGGGGUACAGAAGGCAGCUACCUGGUGACAGGAUGCUAAUCCCAAAAGCCUCUCUCAGUUCGGAUCGAAGUCUGCAACCCGACUUCGUGAAGCUGGAUUCGCUAGUAAUCGCGCAUCAGCCAUGGCGCGGUGAAUACGUUCCCGGGCCUUGUACACACCGCCCGUCAAGCCAUGAAAGCCGGGGGUACCUGAAGUACGUAACCGCAAGGAGCGUCCUAGGGUAAAACUGGUAAUU